UACGUAGGGUGCGAGCGUUGUCCGGAAUUAUUGGGCGUAAAGAGCUCGUAGGCGGUGUGUCACGUCGUUCGUGAAAACCUGCAGCUUAACUGUGGGCGUGCGGUCGAUACGGGCAUCACUGGAGUUCGGCAGGGGAGACUGGAAUUCCUGGUGUAGCGGUGAAAUGCGCAGAUAUCGGGAGGAACACCAGUGGCGAAGGCGACUUCCUGGCCUGUUCUUGACGCUGAGGCGCGAAAGCUAGGGGAGCAAACGGG
rnacentral:rRNA from 1 species